CACGUAGGGCGCGAGCGUUGUCCGGAAUUACUGGGCGUAAAGGGCGCGUAGGCGGCCUUCUAAGUCGAACGUGAAAUCCCUGGGCUCAACCCAGGAACUGCGUCCGAUACUGGGAGGCUUGAAUCCGGGAGAGGGAUGCGGAAUUCCAGGUGUAGCGGUGAAAUGCGUAGAUAUCUGGAGGAACACCGGUGGCGAAGGCGGCAUCCUGGACCCGGCAUUGACGCUGAGGCGCGAAAAGCCAGGGGAGCAAACGGG
rnacentral:rRNA from 1 species